AUAGACGGGUGUUGUUACACUUUAAAGUUAAACACGAUGGUGGUCGCAAAGCACCGGGCUGACCUCCCUGUGCUAUGCAGCAGCUUCCCACCACAAUGUUGCAUCGCAGCACUCUUUACAGUUGCCAGGACAUAGAAGCAACCUAAGUGUCCGUCGACAGAUGAAUGGUUAAA